GGUAAUAGAGCGCACUCGAUGGGCUGACGAAGCAGGAUGGGACAUAGGAAGGAGAGGAAGGGUAGAAAAAGGGGAAGGAAGACAGCGGAAGCGUAGAGAGGGGCGUGGCGGCGGCUGACGAAGAAGCAAACGUAACUAAGGCGCGCAACCGAAGAAGAAGCAAACCUAGCUAAGGGGCGCCGCCGAAGAAGAACCAGAGGGAACAAAAAGGCCAACCUUGGGAUCCGCCUCCGGUCGCGAUCCCAAACCUAGCUUGGGAUCGGCCUCUAGCGGUACCUAGGUCUACAUGGUCUACCAUAAGUUCUACGCGUUCUGCUUAUAUAUGUUGUCCACCUACGUUUACCAGAAGUACUACUGGUUCCGCGUGUUCUUGCUCCGGUUCAACUUGUUGGUCUUCCCCUGCUUGGUAAAGUUGUAUAAGGUUCUCCAGAAGCGUUACUGAGUCGGGCUCACAAGGGAUCCUUCAACACGUUCGGAUGUAUGUAAUGGUCUGACAGAAAGUUCGCAACCUUGUUUUGACAAUUCUUCAAAUCACUGUAAGUCGAUCCAGUACACUGUUUCAUGUUUUACCUUCGAGACGAAGUAUACGGUUUGUUUGAAUUUUAAGGUUACUUAGACGAACUUACCUAUCUAGUCGUAUACAAACCUUCAUUUCUCGGUACAAAGUUCGUAUUCUUAUUUCAAUAGUUCUAAUGAUUACUAUACCAGUUGUUUUAAAAGCUAAAGGGACCACCGUGGCUCGGAAAAUAUAAGUCAUCACUACUAGGGGUUCACUUCCGUCUCCAAAGUCUCAAUUCCUUGUUCAUACAACUAGUAGCCUUGUUUUACGGUUAGUUGUUUUAUCUCCUCCACUACGAAUCACUGCUCUGUCUUCUACCAAAAUAGUCCUCGAAGUGUAAAAUAAAGGAUAGUAGAUAGAACACGGGACGUAGUAUGACGAAACCGUUGUACUUCAAGAACAUGAGAGAUUCUCUACAAAGACGAUAGGGAAGUGAACUGAAACCCUUUAACCGUGACCUAAAGUACGCACUCCUUAAUCUCGCAGUGAAACUUUACUAGUACUUGUCCGGUUGAUAACUCCUUUACUUGUUCAGAAGUAUAUAAUCCCCUACAGAAGGAUAAACCCCUUAGUAAAUAGACCUAAAACAACUAAAACUAAAAUAACUCUUAGUGGUCAGUUGACACCUAAUGAGAGAAGGAGCCUAUAGAGUACACUUCUGACUUCUAAAGUUCAUAGAACGUUACCAACUAUCCUUAAUACUCAGAUCCUUUUUAAUGCCCCAAAAUGGUGACGCGUUGUAUAGUGCGUGGGGUAUACGGUUACUCCGCGGAUAAUUAUUACGAGAACUACGACGACCACACAAAUUAAGUCAAGGAAUACGCCUCCAGUUGUUACGGUUAUCACAACGCUUCAAGAUUUACUCUUGUGCAGUUAACUAAGUUUUACAGGUGUUUAGUAAGGUCUUCCAGGGUCAACGCGACGUUUUCAACUUGGUCUGCAUUUUCACUUUGGUCUCGGUGUAAACUUUAGUAUCGUCCUUCCUCAGAAACAUAGCUGAUUUCGUCGACUAUAGUUAAAAAGACCACCUCAAUUACGUUUUUCUUCAAAAUAUAACUAAUCAAGAUGAAGAGGUUUACUUUCUCAGUUCGCGAAGGUUCCCUGAGGUUAGUCAUAACUCCUACUAAGAGGAUAGUGAGGACGAGGACACUCAUUACUUCUGUAUGGUCGGAGAGUGACAGUAUGUUCACUCCCUUAAGGUUACUUGCACCUGAAACGACUGGUUGUUCUGGUAAGAUGUUACUUAUUACGUCUUCGACCUGGUUCAUGUUCUGGAUUAUGUUAACUUUUCUUCUUGUCUUUUUUUCUCGUCGAUUUGAAGUUAGAGGACUAGGUGGGUUCUUUGAGUUUUAUAGAGCUCUUCACCUAUACAAGAAAAGGUUUAUAGACUCCUUCGUAUAGAAGGUUCUUAUGUGAGAAAAAGAACUGUAUCUUCCAAAAGGAUAUUCGAUACUCUUAAUGAAUUUAAGUAAGUUUCACUCCCCACUCUAACCUCUACUUCACUACUUGAGUAAAUAAGUUCAAGAAUUGAUAGUUAGUUUUGACAGUAGACUUCAUUUCGGAACAUAGUUCUUCAUGACAAAGUGAAGUAUGAAGUGACUAUUUAACAACCAAGGGGGACUCAAUAAACUAGGUCAAUGCACGUAUGCUCUUAAACUGUCCUAGUUACGUCUUCUUUCGGAGACCUUUGGUCUGGACAAUAUAAAGGGAUGAUAUUUUAGUUUGGUGACCCAAUAUGAAAGGUAGUUGAGAGAGAAGCUCUCUAGAGUGAAAAAAAUAGGGACACCGUGAUAAUGCCCUUGAUGGGUUCUUCUUGAAGAGAUGUUGAACGAAAGGUUGAUGUUGUACGAGACGUUCGACUCAUUUUUCGGUAAGUUAUUACAUAAGAGAAAGUUCGAAGUUGGGCAUCCAGGAAUGGGUUGUUUGAGAGAGUACGUACUGAGUCCGGUGAUAGACGGAAACAUGUACCUUUUAAAACUUCCGUUUCGAUACUUCUCAAAGUCGCACCGGUUGUAAGGCUUCAUGUCUUACUAGAGACGCAAGUUCAAUAAGUUUUCGUAAAACUUGUUCGACUUUCUUCUUCUAGACGGUUAUGGUUUAACUGAAAGCGUGCUCUACGUAGACGUUUGUAAAAAAUUACACAUUAAGUAGCCUCUUUUCUUUACGUAAAGGUACACACGUUGUCAAAGUGGACAUAAGCAUACCGUCAUCUACGUGAAAUGAUCAACAAAUUUGUAUACAAUGGCACUCGUUGAGGAUAUGAAAAAAACCGGUGGAUGAGAUGAAGCACUAAAUAUAUCAUGGAGACAACGAUAGUGAAAACGUAUGAUUCGUAUAGAAAAAACAAAACGAUUUUCACCUUGAUAUAAAAAGAAGCACUUAAUAUAUCAUAGAUAAAAAAAAACAAGCACCCUCAACCUACAUAUCAUAGAGUUAGGUGAUAAAAAAAGAGGUAAGGCACACAAAAGUUCGUAAACAGUAAAGUAUAUAAUUUUCAAUAGUUACAGACUAAUUUCGGCC
rnacentral:rRNA from 1 species